rnacentral:rRNA from 1 species
ACGGGUGAGUAACGCGUGAGAAUCUGGCUCCAGGUCGGGGACAACAGUUGGAAACGACUGCUAAUACCGGAUGUGCCGAGAGGUAAAAGGCUUGCUGCCUGGAGAUGAGCUCGCGUCUGAUUAGCUAGUUGGUGUGGUAAGAGCGCACCAAGGCGACGAUCAGUAGCUGGUCUGAGAGGAUGAUCAGCCACACUGGGACUGAGACACGGCCCAGACUCCUACGGGAGGCAGCAGUGGGGAAUUUUCCGCAAUGGGCGAAAGCCUGACGGAGCAAUACCGCGUGAGGGAGGAAGGCUCUUGGGUUGUAAACCUCUUUUCUCAAGGAAUAAAAAAAUGAAGGUACUUGAGGAAUAAGCAUCGGCUAACUCCGUGCCAGCAGCCGCGGUAAUACGGAGGAUGCAAGCGUUAUCCGGAAUGAUUGGGCGUAAAGGGUCCGCAGGUGGCAAUGUAAGUCUGCUGUCAAAGAAUGAGGCUCAACCUCAUCAAGGCAGUGGAAACUACGUAGCUAGAGUACGGUCGGGGUAGAAGGAAUUCCUGGUGU